GCUCAGCUGCCUGCUGGAUAUUCUGUCAGCAACAUGUGGAUAUAAAACUGAAGCACGUUGAUGCAAAGCAUGGCUCCAAAUAUGAAGUCACAGUCUGAGCUCCUGUGAAGAACUGCUGCUGUUUGAUGUUGUAGUGUUUGACUAAAAUGUAGAAAACCUUUUACAAUCCUGACUGCUGUUCAUCAACAAAUAAAUCACAAAUACAGAGACUACUUUUGACUGUGAACAUGUUUAAGAAAUGUUUGAAACCAGUGAUCAAUGGUGAAAAAGAACCUGCACUGGGUUGCAGCAGCUCUGUGUAAGUAGAAAAGGUAGUCUAGUUUGAACAUGUUUUCUUAUUUAGGACGGAGUUUACGCUCUACUAACAUUCAAGGUGUUGAACCAAAUCUUACACUUAGCUCCUAGUAGAUGUGAAGUCCUCUGAAAAAACAGUUGUCAUGGUGAUGGUUUUGAAGGGUGGGAUAACUUGGAGGAAGAGGAGGAGCUGAGGGGUUGACCAGCUGCUUGGCGUCCGCAGUGUGUUCACCAUGAUAGAUUACAUCCUUCAGAAAUGUAUGAGGACUUUGAUUUUACUCCUGCUUUAGUUUUCCAUGAGCAGAGAUCAUUUCAUAUGUCCAAUAAUGAAACGCUGUUAAAUGAUCUUAUGUUUUAGUUGACGAUUUCACCGCUGGAUUCAGUAGAUUGUUCUGUAGUUAUAUUACACUAGCUGUCUGUUUGGAGACAAUACAACACAAGAGUAAACACACAACAAACUCUGCAUUAAGAAAAAUGCUUCUCACUGUUUGGUCACAUCAAGUUAAAACAUCAUUUCUGAAACAAUAUUUUAAUUAGUUUGGACGUAACGCUCUACUAGUAAAGAUAAACCUUACGUUUCUGAGGUAACCAAACAAUGACACAACCUAAGCUACAAAUGAACUAGUUUACACGUAGUGUUUGGUGUUGGCUUUACACCACAACUGAUCACACAGGACAGUGAAAUUCUACCCAUGGACCCUACUGAAGUUCAAAUAAAACAUACUUGUACUUGACAGUUUUUCCAUUUGAUGCAAUGUUGUAGCUCAGUACAAUUCAGUGACACGUAUUGUACUCAAACGCGUCUUCAAAGCUGGUGCUGAUAUAUAUUUUUUAAUGUGAUUGUGUUAAUAGAGCAAAGUGAAAAAUCGACGGACUGACCACAAACAUCGUAAGGUUGAAAAAGAAAAUGGAUGUCAAUGCAGGUUUAAUAGAAUUAAAGAACUUCCUUGGGGCAGAGGAGAUCAGGGUUUGGUUUGGGGUUAAAGCUGGCAGCAGUGAAGGGAUAAAGUGUGUAUUUUGAACAUGUCUGAGAUAAUUAAAUCCUUAAAUGAUGAUUGUGAAAGCUUUGUGAUGUGCUUUUCAAAACUUUAAUACCUUUGAAUUCAGAGGCCAAAAGUCUUUGCAAGAGGUUUAGUGUGAUUCAAUAAAGGACCAGCAGAUGGCAGUAUCUGUUAAAUAUUCUUCGGUUAUAUGAACCUCUUAAAAAAUUGUUGUGGUGUUAUCACUCCUGCUGAAUGUUAACAUAGUUGUGCCUUUAAAAAAAUGUUUUCAAUCCGACAAAUUAUCCUCUGCACUAGCUGAAAAUGAACUGCAAACAAUCACACGGCGAUUAUUAAGUUUAGAUUAAAAAGCCUUUAUUUAGAAAGGGAGAGUUGACAGAGCACUUACAAACUGAA